rnacentral:rRNA from 1 species
UAAACCUCUUUUCUCGCCGUAGAGUUUGAUCGUGAGGGAGGAAGGCUCUCGGGUCGUAAACCUCUUUUCUCAGGGAAGAACACAAUGACGGUACCUGAGGAAUAAGCAUCGGCUAACUCCGUGCCAGCAGCCGCGGUAAUACGGAGGAUGCAAGCGUUAUCCGGAAUGAUUGGGCGUAAAGCGUCCGCAGGUGGCAAUGUAAGUCUGCUGUUAAAGAGUGAGGCUCAACCUCAUAAGAGCAGUGGAAACUACAUAGCUAGAGUACGUUCGGGGCAGAGGGAAUUCCUGGUGUAGCGGUGAAAUGCGUAGAGAUCAGGAAGAACACCGGUGGCGAAGGCGCUCUGCUAGGCCGUAACUGACACUGAGGGAUGAAAGCUAGGGGAGCG